UACGUAGGGGGCAAGCGUUGUCCGGAAUUAUUGGGCGUAAAGAGCGUGUAGGCGGUCCGGUAAGUCAGCUGUGAAAGUCAAGGGCUCAACCCUUGAAAGCCGGUUGAUACUGUCGGGCUAGAGUCCGGAAGAGGCGAGUGGAAUUCCCGGUGUAGCGGUGAAAUGCGCAGAUAUCGGGAGGAACACCAAUGGCGAAGGCAGCUCGCUGGGACGGUACUGACGCUGAGUGAGCGAAAGCCAGGGGAGCAAACGGG
rnacentral:rRNA from 1 species